rnacentral:rRNA from 1 species
AUUGAACGCUGGCGGCAGGCCUAACACAUGCAAGUCGAGCGGAUGAAGGGAGCUUGCUCCUGGAUUCAGCGGCGGACGGGUGAGUAAUGCCUAGGAAUCUGCCUGGUAGUGGGGGAUAACGUCCGGAAACGGGCGCUAAUACCGCAUACGUCCUGAGGGAGAAAGUGGGGGAUCUUCGGACCUCACGCUAUCAGAUGAGCCUAGGUCGGAUUAGCUAGUUGGUGGGGUAAAGGCCUACCAAGGCGACGAUCCGUAACUGGUCUGAGAGGAUGAUCAGUCACACUGGAACUGAGACACGGUCCAGACUCCUACGGGAGGCAGCAGUGGGGAAUAUUGGGCAAUGGGCGAAAGCCUGAUCCAGCCAUGCCGCGGGUGUGAAGAAGGUCUUCGGAUUGUAAAGCACUUUAAGUUGGGAGGAAGGGCAGUAAGUUAAUACCUUGCUGUUUUGACGUUACCAACAGAAUAAGCACCGGCUAACUUCGUG